UACAGAGGUCUCAAGCGUUGUUCGGAUUCAUUGGGCGUAAAGGGUUCGUAGGCGGUGCGGCAAGUCGGGAGUGAAAUCUCUGGGCUCAACCCAGAGGCUGCUUCCGAAACUGCUGUGCUUGAGUGUGGGAGAGGCGCGUGGAAUUGCAGGUGUAGCGGUGAAAUGCGUAGAUAUCUGCAGGAACACCCGUGGCGAAAGCGGCGCGCUGGACCACUACUGACGCUGAAGAACGAAAGCUAGGGGAGCAAACAGG
rnacentral:rRNA from 1 species